rfam:Cricetulus griseus cell line CHO-K1, whole genome shotgun sequence.
CAGGGAAGAGCCCAGCCCCAAUCCCCACUGCAUGGCAUGGGCAAUGUGGCAUACAGAAGACCCACUCCCCAGUGCCACUCGUGGAGGGCCUAAGUCCUUCUGAUCAAGGCCCAGCCCAUGGAUGGUGUGAGACCAGAAGUGACCCCUGUCCCUCUGGGCCUGGGUCUUCUGGGUGUUGGUUUGUUUGGGAAUGCAGUUCAAAGUGGAUGGUAAACUCCAUCUAAUUACCAGCCUGAGACCAAUAGCCAGCAAGUACCAUAAGGGAAAGUUGAAAAGAACUUUGGAGAGAGACUUUAAGAGGGCAUGAAACCAUUAAGAGGUAAAUGGGUGGAGUCAGGAGAAGCAAGCCAGAUGCUGAGAGAGCAAGAUGGGCACAGUAUACUGAGAAAAGGUACUGCCACAUGGCAGAGCAUAAAUAAGGAAUAUGGGUUAACUUAAAAUGUAAGAUCUAGUUAAUAAUAAACCUGAGCUCUUGGCUGAAUAUUUAUAAGUAAUAUUAAGCCUCUGUGUGAUAAUUUGGGAAGUGGCUGCUGGGUAUUUGGGACCAAGCGGCUCUGAAAC